rnacentral:rRNA from 1 species
GCAGGCAUCUGUGGAGUUGGAAAGGAUUCUGGCGAGGGAUGGGGCCCGCGGCCUAUCAGCUUGUGGUGGGGUAAUGGCCUACCAAAGGCGACGACGGGUAACCGGCCUGAGAGGGGCGACCGGUCACACUGGGACUGAGACACGGCCCAGACUCCUACGGGAGGCAGCAGUGGGGAAUAUUGCGCAAUGGGCGAAAGCCUGACGCAGCAACGCCGCGUGAGGGAUGAAGUACGUCGAGAUGUAAACCUCUUUCAGCAGGGACGAAGCGAAAGUGACGGUACCUGCAGAAGAAGCGCCGGCUAACUACGUGCCAGCAGCCGCGGUAAUACGUAGGGCGCAAGCGUUGUCCGGAUUUAUUGGGCGUAAAGGGCUCGUAGGCGGUCUGUCACGUCGGAUGUGAAAACUCAGUGCUUAACACUGGGCCUGCAUUCGAUACGGGCAGACUAGAGUUCGGUAGGGGAGACUGGAACUCCUGGUGUAGCGGUGGAAUGCGCAGAUAUCAGGAAGAACACCG